AGCAAUAGAAACAAGGUUGCAGUCACUAAACUUCACCAGUAGCCAGAUGCUACAGCAGGCCAUGAUCUCAGCCAGUCCCCAAGCGGGAACCCAGGGAACUCGCACAGAGGAGAGGAGGCCUCUUUUUACCUGCUGCUUUCUGUAGAAGCCUCUGAGGUCACAAUUUGGCACAUAGAGCCCGUGUGAGCCCCCUCGGAAGACCUCAGUCUGGAGGUUCUGCAGUAUGGAAUCCAAGUGUCUGCGGCAAGGACCCUGGAGAGGAACAGGGGUGGGUGGGGACGGUGGUCAGAAUCUCAGGAUCCUGCCUGGUCCAGACUUCCUUAAGUCCGAGGAGCAGUCUCCAAUGGAAAUCUCCAGCCUUCUGCCUCCCUGCCAACCCUACACGUACCAUCUCAGUGUCUUGAACAGCCCCUGGAUUGGGCCUUACAGGGGUGGUGGAGGUCCCUGGAUUCUUCUGCCGGUCUCUGUGGCUUGUGUCACGUUGGUGGGAGGCACCUCCAUGGGGUUUCCUUUCCUUUAUAGUCUCCUCUGUGGCCACAGGAAGAAGGGGAGAAUAAAUCAGAAGUCGGUCAAGGCCAAAGACUAGCUCUGCAAUAGCCUUGGUCCAUCUCUGCUGGUUAAAGUGAGACCAGCUGUUGGCUUUAUGAACUAAAAGUAGCCAGAUUUUCUCCUA